UCUUAGCCUAUAAGACCAACUCAUCUGCAGAGAGAGACCAGCUACAGACCAGCUACACCAACCUGACUACUGAGAGAGACCAGCUACAGACCAGUUAUAACAACCUGACUAAACAGAUAGACCAGCUACAGACUGAGAGAGAUUUUCUUAGGGGGAGGCUUACCAAUUGCAAACAAACCUGUCCUGUUGGCUGGCAGAAGUUUGAAUCCAGUUGGUACUUCCUGUCUACUGAGACUAAAACCUGGAAGAAGAGCAGAGAGGACUGUCUGGAGAGAGGAGCAGACCUGGUGAUCAUAAACAGUGAUAAGGAACAGCAAUUUGUCUUCGACCUCAAGAGGAGAGUCUGGAUUGGUCUAACCGAUUCUGUUAAUGAGGGGACCUGGAAAUGGGUGGACGGCACCCCACUGACCACAGGGUACUGGUAUGCCAAACAGCCUGAUAAUGCAGGUCUUACUGGGGAGGACUGUGCUGAGAUACACAAAGACCAGAGUCCUCUAAAGGCAUGGAAUGACUUGUCAUGUGGCAGCAAACGCACCUGGAUUUGUGAGAAAGAGUUUUAACAUCACCAUGACAACAUGCUGUAAUACAUUCUUUAGACUACAGUGCACAUGACUUCCUCAUUCUCUCUCUGUCUCUGUCUCUAUUUCUUUCUCUCUCUCUCUCUCUGUCUCAAACACAUGCACACAAAUGUUGUAUUUGUUUGUAUUAGUAUAUUAAUAAAUGUCCUGCUUAUUUCCUGA